GGGGACGCGCGGGUUCGACAGGAGGAGUAUGCUACAGGAUUGCAAGCUGAGGUGCCGCUACCCUCAUAAAACAAGUGGCAAACAAACAAACGGCGAACCUGAAUUCGCUCUUGCAGCCUAAUUAAGCGGCUGCACAUCCAACCCAACCUCACCUCAACGGGUUGGGAUUGGGUGUAGAGAAGUUGAGGUGCCAUCACCCUGAUGUCGAUAAGGGUGGUGAAAGAAAUAUCGACUGGUCUAGCUAGACUCGGUCAGCAGAGGUUAGCUAGGUAAGAAAAAGAGCUGACUAAGCUUGUAGGACAUUCUGGGUAGCUUCUCUUGGACGGGGAGUUCAACUCUCCCCCGUCUCCACCA
rnacentral:tmRNA from 1 species